rnacentral:rRNA from 1 species
AGUGAACGCUGGCGGUAGGCCUAACACAUGCAAGUCGAACGGCAGCACAGGAGAGCCUGCUCUCUAGGUGGCGAGUGGCGGACGGGUGAGGAAUACAUCGGAAUCUGCCCAGUCGUGGGGGAUAACGUAGGGAAACUUACGCUAAUACCGCAUACGACCUUCGGGUGAAAGAGGGGGAUCGCAAGACCUCCCGCGAUUGGAUGAGCCGAUGUCGGAUUAGCUAGUUAGCGGGGUAAUGGCCCACCAAGGCGACGAUCCGUAGCUGGUCUGAGAGGAUGAUCAGCCACACUGGAACUGAGACACGGUCCAGACUCCUACGGGAGGCAGCAGUGGGGAAUAUUGGACAAUGGGCGCAAGCCUGAUCCAGCCAUACCGCGUGGGUGAAGAAGGCCUUCGGGUUGUAAAGCCCUUUUGUUGGGAAAGAAAUCUUUCAGGCUAAUACCCUGGGAGGAUGACGGUACCCAAAGAAUAAGCACCGGCUAACUUCGUG